CCUAGUUAUUUAGUUAUAUUAUUUCAACAUUAAAAUAAAGCAACAAGAUGAAUAAAGUUAACAGUGAAACUAAGGUAAUACAACCAUUUAAUUUCAUUUACAGGAUGUUCGCUAAAGCAUAUACAUUACGGUUGCCAAAUUAAAGAUUCUGUAUGCAGUUGUAGAUUCGGUUGUAAAAAUGAAUUCAAGUACAGGACUAGAAGAAUCUGUCUUGGCGCUUUACGAUGUAUGUCAGAAAACAGUAUUUGUCAUGAGCCUUGUGUGACUUUUACUCUAUUUUUCUGUCUUUUGCUAUAUGAACAUUCUUUAUUUCCAUGCACGUUACAAAUGCGUUUGAUUAGCAGUGUGGCAUCUUUCUGCAGUCAUGUAUUUUACUUGCACUAUGUAUUAUAAUUAUAAGAGACGAAUAUAAACAAAACACGCGUCUGUUAUAAGUCAUGCGUACACGGCGUUUGCAUCCCAACGGAAGGGGGUUAUGUCUGCAAUUGUGAUGGCACAAAAUACUAUGGAGAUCAUUGUGAAAAAGCUUGUCCAGGAAUCGAACAAAAUGCCAAGAACAUCCCAAGAGCUUGUGGAUCUUAAAAUAGAAAAGUAUUAUUACAUCUUGUAACUUAGGUUUAUUUCAUUGUUAUUUUUUAUUCUCUUAUUAUUGGACUAUUAUACGAUAACAAUUGGACUUACGACGAAUUUAUU